GUUGCAACAUUAUUUUUUGUAGUAUAUGGCUGAAAAAAAAUGUAGAACAUAUGAACAAUGCAAAUAUUUAAUCUUACACAUCAAGUGGAUUUUGUCAUUUUUAAUUUUAAUUGUCUGAGAGAGUGGGUGAGACAGCAGCUUAUAAGUCAAAGUAAUUCAUAAACAGUUAUCACUUAAUUUAUAACUGUAAAUUCAGAAGUUAUUGCCAUGUUUUUAUUAUUGCGAAAAAUGUGACAGGGUUAUAAUUGCAAUAAUUUAAACUCACAUUUUUUUUCAUACAAAUUUAACAGGAUUUUUUUUGCAAUAUCUCAAAAUUUAAAAUAGU
rnacentral:lncRNA from 1 species